GGGGCCGUAGCUCAGAGGGAGAGCGCCGGUAUGGCACGCCGGAGGUCGGGGGUUCAAAUCCCCUCGGCUCCAC
rnacentral:tRNA from 1 species